UGGAUCCAGACUUUGAUCAUGGCUCAGGAUAAACGCUGGCGGCGCACAUAAGACAUGCAAGCCGAACGGACUUAACCAUUAGUUUACUAUUGGAGCGGUUAGUGGCGGACUGGUGAGUAACACGUAAGUAACCUGCCUAUCAGAGGGGAACAACAGUUAGAAAUGACUGCUAAUACCGCAUAUGCCAUAGCCAUCGCAUGAUGGAAGUGGGAAAGGAGAAAUCCGCUGAUAGAUGGACUUGCGACUGAUUAGAUAGUUGGUGGGGUAAAGGCCUACCAAGUCGACGAUCAGUAGCCGAACUGAGAGGUUAAACGGCCACAUUGGGACUGAGAUAUGGCCCAGACUCCUACGGGAGGCAGCAGUCGGGAAUAUUGCGCAGUGGAGGAAACUCUGACGCAGUGACGCCGCGUGCAGGAAGAAGGUUUUCGGAUUGUAAACUGCUUUAGACAGGGAAGAAAAAAGACAGUACCUGUAGAAUAAGCUCCGGCUAACUACGUGCCAGCAGCCGCGGUAAUACGUAGGGAGCGAGCGUUAUCCGGAUUUAUUGGGUGUAAAGGGUGCGUAGACGGGUAAUUAAGUUAGUUGUGAAAUCCCAUGGCUCAACUGUGGAACUGCAACUAAAACUAAUUAUCUUGAGUACUGGAGAGGAAAGUGGAAUUCCUAGUGUAGCGGUGAAAUGCGUAGAUAUUAGGAGGAACACCAGUGGCGAAGGCGACUUUCUGGACAGAAACUGACGUUGAGGCACGAAAGUGUGGGGAGCAAACAGGAUUAGAUACCCUGGUAGUCCACACUGUAAACGAUGGAUACUAGGUGUAGGGUGUGACGAACGCUUUGUGCCGUCGCAAACGCAGUAAGUAUCCCACCUGGGGAGUACGGCCGCAAGGUUGCAACUCAAAGGAAUUGACGGA
rnacentral:rRNA from 1 species